GUGCUCACCUCAGCAGUAUGUAUACUAAAAUUGAAACAAUACAGAGAAGAUUAGCAUGGUCCCUGUGCAAGGAUAACAUGCAAAUUCAUGAAGCAUUCCAUAUUUUU